rnacentral:rRNA from 1 species
AUACGGAGGAUCCAAGCGUUAUUCGGAUUUAUUGGGUUUAAAGGGAGCGUAGGUUGACAUAUAAGUCAGCUGUGAAAGUUUACGGCUCAACCGUGAAAUUGCAGUUGAUACUGUAUGUCUUGAGUGUACAAGAGGUGGGCGGAAUUCGUGGUGAAGCGGUGAAAUGCUUAGAUAUCACGAAGAACUCCAAUUGCGAAGGCAGCUCACUGGGGUACAACUGACACUGAGGCUCGAAAGUGUGGGUAUCAAACAGGAUUAGAUACCCUGGUAGUCCACACAGUAAACGAUGAAUACUCGCUGUUUGCGAUAUACAGUAAGCGGCCAAGCGAAAGCAUUAAGUAUUCCACCUGGGGAGUACGCCGGCAACGGUGAAACUCAAAUGAAUUGGCGGGG